UGCUUGCCUCCAAGCAACUCGCCACUACGGCUCGGCGCAAAUCUAGCACCCGCAGAAAUCGAGUCUGCCAUCAAGGAUUGACAAGGCGUGGCGACUGAGCAGGUAUUGACUGAGCAUGGCGACUGAAGAUGGAUGAACUCGACUGAGAUGAAGAUGACCUUAGCCUGGAGCUAUGGCGCACGAUUACUGGGAAGGAUUCAUGCGUGAUUACUGGGAAGGAUUACAUACCAUGCGUCAUGGGUGUUUCCUGAUUCAUACCAUGCGUCAUGGGUGUUUCCUGAUUCAUGGGUCGUUCUUGGUUUAUUUCCAUGCGAGAUUUCCUAAUUCAUCGGUCGUUCUUGAUUUAUUUCCUAUUUAGAUUCCAUUCAUGCGUGAUUUAUAUUUCCUGGCGAGAUUUCCUGGCGAGAUUUUCCUGCCGAGAUUACAUACCUGACGAGAUUGCAUACCUAGCGUGAUUUAUAUUUCCUGGCGAGAUUACAUUUGGCCCAUGUUAACGCUUGGCCCAGGCGGGUGGGCAACGAAGGACGACGACGACCAAUUACGACCAAACUUUCUCUAAGUAUUUUAGAGUACUCUGAAUUUUAAAAACAUGCAUGUGCCUUUUAAAAACAUGAGAUAUCAGACAUGGGAAAAGUUAUUGAGCUCUGAUGUGAGAGUCUAUAAAAUUUGCACCACCAAAAUAUUUGUGCAUCUGUGCAAAAUUGUUGAAAAGUGAUAUUCAGUUGUUGCCUUCUAACACUUAACUAUUUGUUUGGCAGGUUCAGUCAUUUUUUACAUCACUGGGAGCAUUGUCUCGUAAACAAUUUCAUGAUGGCUCAUAUGAAAUGACUGAGCAGGCAAAUGCUAAAUGAUAACCACUCACUCAAUGAUAACCAAACACCAGCAUGAAGAUGAAGGAUAAGAAGAGGCGAUGUCUUCGACUGGUUGGAGAGCCAACCUGUGCGUCAAAGAAGAGGCGGCAGACCAAUGAGGCAGAUCAAGGGGCGUCGGCGAGCCGGCAGACCUCGGGGCGUCGGUGUUGGAAACCAGUGUUAUCACGGGGCAUCGGCGAGGCGGCAGACCUCGGGGCGUCGGUGUUGGCAACCAGUGUUUGCCAAGAAGGCAGACAUCGGAGAAGAGACGGCAGACCACUGGGCGGCGAGGUGGUUGCCGUACGGAAGGCAUCGGAGAAGAGAUGGCAGCGUAAGAGUGAGAAGAGACGGCAGCGUGAGGGGAGAGAUGAUUUCCUAUUCCGCCCAGCUGAUUCAUAGGGAUACGGCUGGGCUGAUUGGUUUCCUUGUACGUCUGCGCUGAUUGGUUUCCUUGUAUGUCUAGGCUGAUUUUUUUCCUUGUAUGUCUCGGCUGAUAGCUGAUUGUCUGCGCUGAUGCAUGCUGGAUUGCGCUGAUUUUUUUCCUUGUACGUCUGGGGACGGAGGGACGACGAAAACGACCAAACGUAUUGGGCUAUUGGCAGAAUAAGGAACCAAUUGAGUCUUUUUAAGUA